CAGCCGCCGCUCGCCGCUCGCCCGCUCGGCCCGCCCCCGCCUCGCGUAGCCGCCGCUCGCCCGCUCUGCCCGCGCCGGUGCCGCCCGCACCUGCCCGCUCGGCUACGCCGGCGCUGCCGCUCGCCCCCACCCCCGUCGGUGCCGCCGAGCGGCACCUCCGCAGGGGGGGCGGGCCGCAGCAGCACGCCCCCGACGCCUCGGCCUGGGACUGCCGGCGCUGCCCUGGGGUUGGGGUUGGGGUUGCUUACUGCCGACUCCGACGCCGUGGCCUCCGGUCCAGAUGUUGCUGCCUGCUGGACAUGCAAACUGAAUCCUCCGGUCUCCUCUCUCUUUUUUUCUUCGUCUGUAUUCAUCUAUACAAGAUUGAGGACAGGGCCUCUCAAUUGUCAGUGCCAUUAAGCACAAUGCUACUCAUUUGUUGCAUCUUCAAUUGUUAGCUUAAUAUAAUUCACAAGCUUCCCCGUUAUCUUCAAGAGGUUGAGUAGUGAUUUCAAACACAUUGUCUCUAUGCAAAGUAUAAGAUCGGCCAUGAAUUAUCCUCUUAUUACUGCCGCAGGAAAGAAAUUGGGGCAACUAUGUGUCACCUUUGUAGGCAUGAAUGUUAUACAAUUUGAUUGAUUUCACACACUCAGUAAAAGCAUACACCCUCAGUAAAUUAUAUACUGCUCGGUUUGAUUGAUUUCAUCUAUUUGUCAUUUCACACGCUUAGUAAAGUAUACACCCUCGGUAAAAUAUAUAGUGCUCAGUUUGAUUGAUUUCAUCUAUUUGUUAUUUCACUUUUUGGUUUUACGUGUUAACUUUAGUUUCAGUUGUGAGUUUUCAAGCACAACUAUUCCAAAUUGUUCUACUACUAUUUGAACGUGCUAUAAUGAUGUUUCAAUUGCUUGGCACCCGGCCGCUUGCCCGCUAGGCCCGCCCCCGCCAGUGCCGCCUGAGCCCCCGCCCGCACCCGCGAUGGCGGCCAUGUCCGUGGGUACUACCAAGGAGGCCGCAAGAGCCUGUACACUGUCGGCGAGCUGCCGUUCAGUACCAAGGAGUUUGAGGUCACCUUACCUGACAACAAGCCAGGUCCAUCUGAGCAAAGGAGGGAAUGCAAGUUCAAGGGGACCAUCGAGCGCACCACUCUGGUUAGCCUGCAACAGCUGCAGAUGCUCAUGGCCGGGAUCUCCAUGGACAUGCCGGUGCAGGCGCUGCAGUGGUCAUCAUCCGAACAAAUGCAGAUUUUUUUACUUUACUGGUUACUGAUUUCAUCAAGUAGAGACCAAGUGAACCAUUUGACGUCUUUCGAUUAUAUGUUCUUUUAUGCACUUGAUCCGUGAAUGAGGCUGAGGCUGGCUUGGGCAGAGACAGUCAGUCGCCUUCUGGAGCUAGAUGGAGAGCUUAUCACCUUCAUAUAUUUAGUGCUCGAUAUUGUGUUGCGCAAUAUUGUGCUCAACGAACGCAAUGGCAUGGGGCCAGUCUUUGUUCUCGCGGACCAUUGAGGAACCCAUCAAGUUAGGCCAGGGUAUCGAAGGAUGGAACGGGUUCUGCCAGAGCAUCAGACCUACCUGCAGUGGAUUGUUCCCUCAACAUAGACAUGUCAUCGACGGCUUUCGUUUGAGCUGUGUCGCUGACUAAUUUCAUUGGGGAGGUUCUUGACAAGAGAGAUCUCAUUUGUGGCAUUCAUGACUUGACUAUCUUAAGGUAUGCACAUUUUCGGAAUCAAAUGUAUCGCGACCAAGUUGCUGCUGUGGUGGUAUGGUAGGUUUUGUUUUCACAUUCCGCUGCAGAUUAAGAAGGCCCUCAGGGGUGUGAGAGUUGAGGCCGCCCACCGAAUUAUCGCCUGGCAAAACCAAGAGAGUGAGGGAGUACUUCAGAGAAACUUACAAGCUGCAACUACCUUGCAAUUUUCUCCCCUGCCUGCAAGUUACAGAGCAGAAACCCAACUAUCUUCCAAUGGAGGUUUGUGCAAAUGGAGUCCAAGUUGCUGUUGUGGUGUUAUGGUAAGACAACUCAACUCAUCGGUUGUGGCAAAAUGUUAUCCCUAAAAGUAAUAACUAAUUUGCAUAUAUGCUCUGGCUCUCUGUAUGAAUUAGGUGCCUCCAAAUAAGUUCUCAAAAAAAUAAAAAUACAAAAAUAAGUUGGUUCAGAAUCAGCAUGUGGAUCUUGUUGCAAUUGAUUGCGUCAGGUCUAGCUCGUUUCAUUGUAUUCUCUUUGUUCAUUAUUCAUGCUCUGCUACUUAUUGUCAUUUUUGGCCAAAUAAAACAGUGUGCUCAAGUAACAUUUUAGUUUUUCUUUUUUGCGAAAUAAUAUUUUUGUGGUUAAAACGAAAGAAACCAUUUUAUCACUCCAGUCCACGAGGACACAGAGAAAAAAAAAACAAAUCCACCAUAAUCUUGUCUUCCUACUUACUUUUACUAAACAAGAAAAAUAAACUACAAAGGAAUCUUCUAAAAAAUAGAUAAAAUAUCAUUUUUCAGAUUGAAAUGUACAACUCUCAACUUGUCUUUUACUUCUGUUAUGUGCAUGUUCAUCGUGCUGGAUGGUGUUGUACUUGUAAAUACCAGAAUUGCAGGCAAAACAAAGUAAUGGAUGGUCUACAAGAAUCUGGAUGAAUUCAUCUCCAUGGUAAAAUAAGCCAGCCAGCGUGCAUUCCAUUUGGUUGGAAAUAAUAUUGCCUUUGAAAUGUAUGAGUGAUUCUUGGCAUCUGACAUUGCUGAAUCCAACAUUGAUGUUGUCUUGUUACGCAUACCUUUGUAAAUUCUCUUGGGGAGAAAAUGUAUAAAUUGCAAUUUGCAACAUUGCCCCCAAAAUAGAUGAGGUUCACACAUAUAAUUAUGGAUUUGUGUAGUUUAUGAUCUCAGAGUUUUUGAAAGCACCAUUAAUGAUUUCUAUUUGUAUAGAGUAAACAAAAUGGCAUUCAACGCCUUUAAACCUAACUCUCAGUAGUUGUAAGAGCCUGGAAACGUGGUUUUGGACCUCCCAUGCUA